GGCCCGCACAAGUGGUGGAGCAUGUGGUUUAAUUCGAUGAUACGCGAGGAACCUUACCUAGGCUAGAAUGCGCGUGACCGGUUCAGAGAUGAGCCUUUCCUUCGGGACACAAAGCAAGGUGCUGCAUGGCCGUCGUCAGCUCGUGCCGUGAGGUGUUGGGUUAAGUCCCGCAACGAGCGCAACCCCUAUGUUUAGUUGCCAGCGGGUUAAGCCGGGGACUCUAGACAGACUGCCUGCGCAAGCAGUGAGGAAGGCGGGGACGACGUCAGGUCAUCAUGGCCCUUACGCCUAGGGCUACACACGUGCUACAAUGGACGGUACAGCGGGUUGCCAACCAGCGAUGGUGCGCCAAUCCCGAAAAGCCGUUCUCAGUUCGGAUCGGAGUCUGCAACUCGACUCCGUGAAGCUGGAAUCACUAGUAAUCGCGCAUCAGCAAUGGCGCGGUGAAUACGUUCCCGGGC
rnacentral:rRNA from 1 species